GCUAGAAAUACCGCCUGCCCAAAACCUACACAUGCAUUCUGAGUUCCGCCCACCGAACGCAUGGUUCCGCCCAUCUUAAUGUAUUUAUUUGUCAAACUUACGUAUUGUAUUUGCACCAGUGCAAAUAUAUACGGCUUUGACGUUUCAUAUCUUCGGUUCAUUCAAUGCUAUGAAGACAAAAAUACCACGUUCGAUUCAGUGUAACAAUAUGUCCUCAUUCAUAGCGAUAGUUUUAGUCGAUGUCAACAUCAUAGCGAUUUAUUAGCUUUGAAAGUCAAGCGAGUUCGUAUAUUAUCAAAUUACGCCAUUGUCUGAACAAAAAUAUAGACUAGCCAUACCUUUCGCUGAACAUAACUUCGGCCCCUUCGGACGUAACUUCUCUUGUUCUAACCGCUAUCAAAAACACGACUUAGAGUGUCAUUUGCGAGCCUGUAUCUUCAAAUAUGCAUCUUUUAUCACGGUAUCACAUCUCUAUCAAGCAACAAAUGUUGGAUUGAUAUUCGUUGUUCAUUCUUCAAGACGAUUGGAUUACCGAUUCCAAAUAAAGAUUAAAUAAUUCAACGCUUAAUUCUCAAUUAAUACAUCGGUAUCAUAAAUAUAUCGGUAUCAAGUACGAAAAUAACAAUAGUUUAUAAUACGGCAACAGUAACUUAUAAAAUUACCACUAAUUAAUCUAAUUCUUUACUCCUGUCAAUCAAAACUUCAAAAUGAACAUUCUGACCAAUCAGAAUGCUCAGUCACCCAGCUGCCGGAGAACUCAGAAUGUGUAGUUUAUGGGCAGGCAGUAUUUCUAGCUUCCCGUUCUCUCGUGCCCGCGAAUACGCCUGCUACUCAGGCUAGGACACACAGGAAUAUGGCUAGUUAGAAAUAUAAGAAACACCUAAAAUAAGUUAUUAUUAGAAAUACAUUAAGAUACAAAUUAGCCAUAUAACUAUAGUUUACAACCAUUAGUGUGAAGAAAACAGAGUAUUUGCUAAAAGGCUGCAUGCAUAUAAUUUCAAUGUGUAUUUCUUGACCACUGAUUGAUCUGGUUAAUUUAGGCCGAUUCUUAAGAUGUGGUUGCCAAAUAUUGGAGACAGAGACAAAUUUAAACUUCCCAACAGAUGUAAUCGUAUGUUCUUAAAGUGAACAUGAAAAAUAACUUAAUGAAUAAAUCGUCAGCUAUUGUUUCUACAACAUGUUUCUCCAAUGAGUCAAUAGGGCAUGCGACUACUCAUAUAUACAUAGGUCAACUCAUUGGCAACAAUCAGCAAGGUAUUGUCUGGCCUGAACAAGUGGACUCCGUGUUAAUAUCAGAAUGGUUGACGAUAAUGCAUACUUACCACAAGCCAGAUAUCGCCCAGAACUUUAGGUUCGCUGAGCAAUCAUUAUCUUCUUAUGACUAUUAAAGAGCUUCACUAAGACAAUCAUUGAAUUAAAUGUUUUAAAAUUAAAAGAUAUUUUAAAGAUUGUCAACUCACCUGACAUUUAGUUAAACAAAGCAAAACUUUUUU